GGGAGGUCUUGGGGGUCUGAGGAGGGAACACCCCCGUGAGAUGGUUCAGGGCCCAUGGCAGGGGGUGGAACGAGAUGAUUUUUAAAAGUCCCUUCCAACUGAAACCAUUCCGUGCUUCCAAGGAUGCUAAAUGCCAGGGAAAGGGUGGCAUAUGUAUCUCUGAUCCCAGUCUUUCCCAGGAAACACUGCAGAACGAGAUGAAGACUCAUCCACAGAGAACAAACCCCAACACUGUGGCUCUCACCUCACCCUUCAUUCUCACCACUCAUCCCUUCAGCAGGCGCCAAAACCACCUCAGGAACAAGGACCUUUAUCUGGGCUGAAGGUUGUGAGGUGCUGAAGUCUCUAAGCCUGUGGUGUUUUCACCUGCCAGACCAAGUAUUGUAUGAAAAUAAACCUGAUAAACUCAGUAAAAUCAGGUGAAAAAGAGAGAAAACAGGUUGCAAGGGUUAAAUCAGGAGAACUUUAGGUGAACUUCCCUCUGUGUGCUCAUAAUCUCUUCAUCUACGCUGGCCCUGGGGAACAGGAUCUCUCUUUUUCCCCUUUUUUAAAGAGGAAUUGUGGGUUCCCUGCACUGAGCUUGCGUCCAUUUAGGUAAUUUCCUGCUCCAUUCUCCCCAGGUCUGCAUUGAAUGGGACCUACUGUGGUCAAUUGGAGGAAGAAACAUUGUUUUUGGGUUUGUUUAUCUCGUUUGGAUCCGUGUCCCCCCACAGUGGAUGUGCUUUUGCAGUCAGAGGGGAGCAGGGAGGGCCCUGCUGAAAUCCAGGGCCACGCGUGGCCAAACCGGGCAGCAAAGGGGCUGAGAGGGGCCUUAUUUCAGGGAAGACAGAUGAUAAUAAUAAAUUUAUUUAUUUAUUUAAUCCCAGUAGAGACUAAAUAAAACGACCAGUGGUGGAUCCCAAAGGAAAUAAAUGGAUUUUUAUUAA